rnacentral:rRNA from 1 species
CGUUAUUCGGAAUUACUGGGCGUAAAGGGCGCGUAGGCGGCCUGCUAAGUCGAACGUGAAAUCCCUGGGCUCAACCCAGGAACUGCGUCCGAUACUGGAAGGCUUGAAUCCGGGAGAGGGAUGCGGAAUUCCAGGUGUAGCGGUGAAAUGCGUAGAUAUCUGGAGGAACACCGGUGGCGAAGGCGGCAUCCUGGACCGGUAUUGACGCUGAGGCGCGAAAGCCAGGGGAGCAAACGGG